GGUUUAUCUAAAGGCAGUGAGUUAUCUCAAUUGCUCACAAUCAGUUACAGUUCAAACUUGUUCUUACUCUUUUCCCCCUUCUCACUACUGAAUUUGACUCAUCUUUA
rnacentral:Y_RNA from 1 species